rnacentral:rRNA from 1 species
GACAGAGGAGACAAGCGUUGUUCGGAAUUACUGGGCUUAAAGCGCGCGCAGGCGGCCCGUUAAGUGUCCCGUGAAAUCCCUCGGCUUAACCGGGGAACUGCGGGGCAAACUGGCGGGCUUGAGGUCGGUAGAGGUGCCUGGAACUCUAGGUGGAGCGGUGAAAUGCGUAGAUAUCUAGAGGAACACCAGAAGCGAAAGCGGGGCACUGGGCCGAUUCUGACGCUGAGGCGCGAAAGCGUGGGGAGCAAACAGG